UACGGGAGGCAGCAGUGGGGAAUAUUGCACAAUGGGCGAAAGCCUGAUGCAGCUAUGCCGCGUGUAUGAAGAAGGCCUUAGGGUUGUAAAGUACUUUCAUCGGGGAGGAAAAAACAAAACUAAUAAUUUUAUUUCUUGACGUUACCCGAAAAAGAAGCACCGGCUAACUCCGUGCCAGCAGCCGCGGUAAUACGGAGGGUGCUAGCGUUAAUCAGAAUUACUGGGCGUAAAGAGCACGUAGGUGGUUUUUUUAAGUCAGAUGUGAAAUCCCUGGGCUUAACCUAGGAACUGCAUUUUGAAACUGAAAUACUAGAGUAUCGUAGAGGGAGGUAGAAUUCUAGGUGUAGCGGUGAAAUGCGUAGAUAUCUGGAGGAAUACCUGUGGCGAAAGCGGCCUCCUAAACGAAUACUGACACUGAGGGUGCGAAAGCGUGGGGAGCGAAACAGGGAUUAGGAUACC
rnacentral:rRNA from 1 species